rnacentral:rRNA from 1 species
UGUUUAAGAUGAGAAGUGUCUAAAAAUAAAAAGUGUUACAACUUUAAUAUAAUAGUUUGUUUUCUUGUAAAACUUUUUUAAUCAUAAUUCCUUAAUAUAUUGAUAGAAUAAGUAUAUAAAAUGGGUCAUAUUAACUCGAUACUUUUACAACUGUUUAUCAAAAACAUUUCCUUUAGAAUAUAUUUAAAGGUAUUACCUGCUCAAUGUAGUAUUAUAAAUAGCUGCGGUAUCCUAACUGCACUAAGGUAGCAUAAUUAAUUGUCUUUUAAAUGGUGACUUGUUUGAAUGGUUUAAUGAGAAAAGGAUUUUGUUUGGUCCAAAAAGAAUUUAUAUUUUAGGGUUAAAAUACCUAAAUUGUAAAGAAAGACGAGAAGACCCUGUUGAGUUUUACAUUUAUAUGUUAAAUGUUUAAAUGGGAAAUUUAAUUCCUUUAUGGAAUUUAAUAGAUCCUAAAAAAGUUUGGAAAAAGGAUAAAAUUACCACAGGGAUAACAGGACUAUAUUUUCUGAGAGUUCUAAUUGAAGAAAGUGUUUGUUACCUCGAUGUUGAAUCGAAAUAACUUUUUGGUGCAGUAGUCAAAUAAGUAGGUCUGUUCGACCUUUAAAAUUUCACGUGAUUUGAGUUAAGACCGGCGUGAGCCAGGUUGGUUUCUAUCUUCUUAUGAUUGUUUUUUGUACGAAAGGAAUUGAACGA